rnacentral:rRNA from 1 species
CCCAGACUCCUACGGGAGGCAGCAGUGGGGAAUAUUGGACAAUGGGGGGAACCCUGAUCCAGCGACGCCGCGUGAGUGAAGAAGUAUCUCGGUAUGUAAAGCUCUCUCAGCAGGGAAGAAAGAAAUGACGGUACCUGACUAAGAAGCCCCGGCUAACUACGUGCCAGCAGCCGCGGUAAUACGUAGGGGGCAAGCGUUAUCCGGAUUUACUGGGUGUAAAGGGGGCGCAGACGGCAGCGCAAGCCAGGAGUGAAAGCCCGGGGCCCAACCCCGGGACUGCUCUGGAAACUGUGCGGCUAGAGUACUGGAGGGGCAGGCGGAAUUCCUAGUGUAGCGGUGAAAUGCGUAGAUAUUAGGAGGAACACCAGUGGCGAAGGCGGCCUGCUGGACAGUAACUGACGUUGAGGCUCGAAAGCGUGGGGAGCAAACAGGAUUAGAUACCCCUGUA